rnacentral:rRNA from 1 species
CCUACGGGAGGCUGCAGUGGGGAAUAUUGGACAAUGGGGGCAACCCUGAUCCAGCCAUGCCGCGUGUGUGAAGAAGGCCCUCGGGUUGUAAAGCACUUUCAGUGAGGAAGAACGCCUGGUGGUUAAUACCCAUCAGGAAAGACAUCACUCACAGAAGAAGCACCGGCUAACUCCGUGCCAGCAGCCGCGGUAAUACGGAGGGUGCGAGCGUUAAUCGGAAUUACUGGGCGUAAAGCGCGCGUAGGUGGCUUGAUAAGCCGGUUGUGAAAGCCCCGGGCUCAACCUGGGAACGGCAUCCGGAACUGUCAAGCUAGAGUGCAGGAGAGGAAGGUAGAAUUCCCGGUGUAGCGGUGAAAUGCGUAGAGAUCGGGAGGAAUACCAGUGGCGAAGGCGGCCUUCUGGACUAACACUGACACUGAGGUGCGAAAGCGUGGGUAGCAAACAGGAUUAGAUACCCUGGUAGUC